GGCCGACUAGCUCAGCUGGUUAGAGCGUCGUGCUAAUACAGUCCGUUGGAGAGCUUCUGCUCACCCUGGGAGCUCACUGAUGGGUCUGCUACGCGAAGGUCUUGGGUUCGAUCCCCACGUUGGCCA